CGGGUGAGUAACACGUGAGCAAUCUGCCCUUCUCUUUGGAAUAACCAUUGGAAACGAUGGCUAAUGCCGAAUAUGACCUCCUUUCGCAUGUUUGGAGGUGGAAAGCUCCGGCGGAGAAGGAUGAGCUCGCGGCCUAUCAGCUUGUUGGUGAGGUAAUGGCUCACCAAGGCAUUGACGGGUAGCCGGCCUGAGAGGGUGACCGGCCACACUGGGACUGAGACACGGCCCAGACUCCUACGGGAGGCAGCAGUGGGGAAUAUUGGACAAUGGGCGAAAGCCUGAUCCAGCAACGCCGCGUGAGGGAUGACGGCCUUCGGGUUGUAAACCUCUUUCAGCAGGGACGAAGCGAAAGUGACGGUACCUGCAGAAGAAGGACCGGCCAACUACGUGCCAGCAGCCGCGGUAAUACGUAGGGUCCGAGCGUUGUCCGGAAUUAUUGGGCGUAAAGGGCUCGUAGGCGGUUUGUCGCGUCGGGAGUGAAAACUCAGGGCUCAACCCUGAGCGUGCUUCCGAUACGGGCAGACUAGAGGUAUGCAGGGGAGAACGGAAUUCCUGGUGUAGCGGUGGAAUGCGCAGAUAUCAGGAGGAACACCGGUGGCGAAGGCGGUUCUCUGGGCAUUACCUGACGCUGAGGAGCGAAAGCAUGGGGAGCGAACAGGAUUAGAUACCCUGGUAGUCCAUGCCGUAAACG
rnacentral:rRNA from 1 species